CGGAAUGGGAAUGGGAAUGGGAAUGGGAAUGGGAAUGGGCACCGCCGUGCGCGUCCGCUCCCGCACCGAGCUGCGCCACGGCCGCGCCGCGGGGCGGUCAUGGGAAUGGGAAUGGGCACCGGAAUGGGAAUGGGAAUGGGCACCGGGAAUGGGAACGGGAAUGGGAAUGGGAAUGGGAAUGGGAAUGGGAAUGGGAAUGGGAACGGGAACGGGAAUGGGCACCGGGAAUGGGCACCGCCGUGCGCGUCCGCUCUCGCACCAAGCUGCGCCACGGCGGCGCCGCGGGGCGGUCAGGAGACCGGGAAUGGGAAUGGGAAUGGGCAUGGGCACCGGGAAUGGGAAUGGGAAUGGGCACCGGGAAUGGGAAUGGGAACGGGAAUGGGAAUGGGCACCGCCGUGCGCGUCCGCUCCCGCACAGAGCUGUGCCAUGGCAACGCCGCGGGGUGGCCACGGGCACCGGGAAUGGGCACCGGGAAUGGGAAAGGCCACGGGGGAAUUUGGGAAUGGCAUUUCUGCCGGGAACGCAGAAAAUCCGCCGGGAAUGCGGCCUCAGCGCAGCCCCACCUCCAGCAUCAGCCAUCACACCCCAUUCCCAUCCCAUCCCCAUUCCCAGUUUCCCAUCCCCAUCCCAAUUCCCAUUCCCAGUUUCCCAAUCCCAAUUCCCAAUUCUGGUUCCCUUACGCGAUGGCCUCCACCAUGGCCAGCCCAAUCCCAAUCCCAAUCCCAAUCCCAAUCCCAAUUCCCAAUUCCCAAUUCCCAAUUCCCAAUUCCCAAUUCCCAUCCCCAUUCCCAGUUCCCAAUUCCCAAU
rnacentral:lncRNA from 1 species